rnacentral:rRNA from 1 species
CCUACGGGAGGCAGCAGUGGGGAAUAUUGGGCAAUGGGCGCAAGCCUGACCCAGCAACGCCGCGUGAAGGAUGAAGGCUUUCGGGUUGUUAACCUCUUUUCUUAGGGACGAAGAGAGUGACGGUACUUGAGGUUUAAGCCUCGCCUAACUAGGUGCCAGCAGCAGCGGUAAUCCGGAGGUGGCAGGCGUUAUCAGGAUUUAGUGGGUGUAAAGGGCGUGUGGGCGGGAGGGCAAGUCAGAUGUGAAAACUCAGGGCUCAACCCUGAUCCUGCAGUUGAUACUGUGUUUCUUGAGUGCUGGAGAGGCAAGCGGAAUUCGGGGUGUAGCGGUGAAAUGCGUAGAUAUACGGAGGAACACCAGUGGCGAAGGCAGAUUGCUGGACAGUAACUGACGCUGAGGCGCGAAAGCGUGGGGAGCAAACAGGAUUAGAUACCCCAGUAGUC